AGUGCUUCUGAACAAGCAACAGGAUGGAGAAACCCUGGAGAGAGGAGUCAGGAGUUCCACCUGCUCUGUCAACCACCGACUGGUAAUGACCUUGGGCAAGCCUGCACCUCACUUCAUUUGUCCCUAAAGGAGAAAUAAAAAUACGCAUCUACGUUCUUCUCGGGUCUCUGCUCGGUUGCUGAAGGUAAAGGUCCUGAGAAAAACCAGCAUCGACCGCAGCUGUCCUCAGGGAUACGUGUACACUCGAGAUAAGUGGUAAAUAACACCGAGCAAAGAAGAGAGCCAGGGAGGAGGCUGACAGCAGGGGUGAUGGCUCGUGCUUCCUGCAGGGAGAGAAGCCACAUAUCCCAGGAGGCCGGAGCCCAGCUCUCCGGUGGCUCCUUCCACCCAUUUUGGGUGGGAUUUCGUAAGAACCCGGCCCCUGUUUCUUACAUCUCUGUCCCUAGCUCCUGAGCACUGAGUGAAUGGACAGGCUCUGACUGCACAGCCCUUCCGAGACGGUGCUGCCGGGCUCUGGGGGUGUGGGGGUGUGGGGCUCCUGCGAAGGUCCUGGUGCAGCCGUCAGGAUCUU